rnacentral:lncRNA from 1 species
GGGAGUUACUGCUCUUAUCAUGUAGUCAUUAAUCCUCUUUGUUUCAAUAAGGUUAGGGUUAGGGGAAGGGUUAGGAAAAGGGCUAAGGUUAAGGUUAGGAGAAGGGUUAGGAAAAUUGUUAAGGUUAGGAGAAGGGUUAGGAAAAGGGUUAAGGUUAGAAAAAGGGUUAACUAAAAGGGUUAAGGUUAAGGGAAGUGUUAACUAAAAGGGUUAAGGUUAGGGGAAGGGUUAACUAAAAGGGUUAAGGUUAGGGGAAGGGUUAACUAAAAGGGUUAAGGUUAGGAGAAGGGUUAACUAAAGGGGUUAAGGUUAGAAAAAGGGUUAACUAAAGGGGUUAAGGUUAGGAGAAGGGUUAACUAAAAGGGUUAAGGUUAGGAGAAGGGUUAACUAAAAGGGUUAAGGUUAGGGGAAGGGUUAACUAAAGGGGUUAAGGUUAGGGGAAGGGUUAACUAAAGGGGUAAAGUAACCAUCUGUACAUUUACUAUGCUACGUCUAGUCUAUGAGACCUGGCUGGAUAUACUGACCACAAGUUUGACCCACUGCAGUAAAUACAUGGCACACCAUAUACCAUGUCUGCCAAACAGACUUUCCCUCCCAGGUCAUUCAAUAAUGAGUUAAUUAAUCACAUCGUGAUUCUCACUGAAGCUGUACAUAUAAUCAAUGAUUUUCUAAAUGGCCUUUGUGUGAUUGUAAAGUGCCACAUGCAUUGGGCCAUAUUAUAUUGUAGUUCUAGUUGAAUCCAUCCAUCCAUCAAUAUGUUCGGACCAUAACUAGACAGAUAAUGUGAUGACACAAAUUCCUUGUUUAUAACUGCCACUAAACACGCCGUGACCUUCCUCCUGAUCUUGUCCGUUUACACUUAUAUCACAAUGAUCACAAUGCGUCUUUUCAUCAUCUACACCUGUCUAAUAAGGUGGGCACAAUCAGAAUGUGGACAUGAUCCGGACACAGGACGCAUGUUAGAACCAGGUUAAACGGGGUUAGGGAGUACUGGAACCACAGUGUGUCAUAACUCAGAGGUUUAGCAUGAUCAUUGGCUGAUAACAGGGAAAGUGGUGCCGUCUGAUAAAAGGGAAAGUGGUCUAUCUCUGAUCUCAUCCUGUUGACUAAUGUCUCUCCCAAGGUGGCUGUGCUGCACUACAGACCAAUGAGAUACAAUGAGUGGACAAAACAUUAGGAACAUUCCAUAACAGACUGACCAGGUGAAUCCUGGUGGAAGAUAUGAUCCCUUGUUGAUGUCACCACUUCAAUCAGUGUAGAUGAAGGGGAGGAGACAGGUUAAAUAAGGACUUAUAAUCCUUGAGACAAUUGAGACAUGGAUUGUGUAUAUGUAACAUAUUAUUUCCACAGUUUAUCAGCGUGCGCCCAAGAUGUUCCCUUCAUUGAUGAUGCUUGUUAUGCUUUAUGUUUGAACCAAAAGAUUACGUGUUACAAAGAUGAAGUGAAAAGGAAACAAUGAAAUACUGUAUAUUAAAUGAAAUAAUAUUGUAUGUUGAGGUUAAUACUAUGUACAAUAUGUAGCAAUAUGAUAUUGAAAACAACAGCCUGAGAAAUUCAACAUGCUGUAAACUAUUGUCUUUUAAAAGAUUCACUUUGUCAUCCUCAUCACCCUAAUUACAACCCUAAUUACUAUGACACACUCCUCUCUAUUGUCAUUGGUUGCACUAAUUGCACUGUUUGUCAACAUAACCUGGUUCACACAUUCAUGACAUCACCCUGAAGAAGACACAGUGAUGCUGAAACGGUGGUUUAUCCAAUAAAUUACUGGGAGCCUUUAUAUAGUGUGUGUAACUCUCUUUAUUUUUAUUGCAGACACAGAUUGCCCCUUUAAGAGGUUUGAUUCCCA